CCCUGCUCACUACUGCUUUCUCCAGACUGAGGCUAAACCCAUGCAGGAUGGCCUGGUGAACCAUCUGCUUCCAGCCCCUUCAGAAUGGCCCUCCAUGUACUCUCUGCUCUUUACACAUAGACAGGAGAGAGUGCUGGGGUCCAGAGUUGCCCUUGAAGAGAGGGAUGGAAAAGCGGCUCGGACAUGGGAAGGGGUGACCAAAAGAGAAAGCCUGGACUCCUCAUCUGCCCCCUGGGAGAUCAGUUCUCUCCAAGAGGAGCCCCUGGAUUUGGAAAGUGCUCAAGAAGGCAGGACUGAGCACUGAACUGCCCAGAACCCUCUACCUGCUGGCAGCAGCUAGGCCAAACUCUUGGGUUUGAAGAGUGAGAGUACUGAGCACCAGGCUGCUCUCUGGCUUUGGAGCUGGCCCACUGGGCCGCAGAUAAUUCCUCAGCAGGUACUGUUGGAGACCAUACCCUUGUCCCAGCACCAGAGCUCCAGGAAGACCAGGACAUGAGACAUAAAUCCACGGUGCUUCAUCUCCCUGCUGGGUCACUGAAGAUCACGACCAUUCAUCUCAACCUCAGGUCUCAACCUUAGAAAUAAACCUUUCCUCAUAAGGAAGAGAGUGAAUGCCAGUUGAGACCUCACUACAUAAAGACGCAGCUGCUCACAAAUCUUCCACCGUGAAUCCCUCUGGAAUCUUGAAAUUGGUAGUAGGAUCUCCAUUUUACAGAUGCAACAACAAUUUUCCUCACUUCCUGGAAAUGGCUCUGCUCUAGCAUUUCAACAUUAUCCAGGAGAUGCCUUAGUGAUGGUGAUGGUUAAGUCAGAGCACCUUAAAGAGUCUGAGUGCUGAAUCUUCCAAAGUGUUCAAAUCUGUGGUAAGGGAAAUUAAGCACAAGGUAAGUUGAGGGUUGGACUGUGUGCUGUUGGACUCUUGUUCUUGUGACAAGGUCAGCAGUCCCUUGUGGGCAUGUCAGUUCCUGCCCCCGCACAGGCAUGUGUACACACACUCACGUGCCCACACACACUCCUGGCUUUUGCUUUUUUCCCAAGUGGGAAACUGUUUUUUACACCGUGACUUGCUGAUCUGUCUUGUAGCAGGGAUCCAGGAACA